rnacentral:rRNA from 1 species
CACGUAGGGUGCAAGCGUUGUCCGGAAUUAUUGGGCGUAAAGGGCUCGUAGGCGGUCCGUCACGUCGGGAGUGAAAACUCGGGGCUCAACCCCGAGCCUGCUUUCGAUACGGGCGGACUAGAGGUAGGUAGGGGAGAACGGAAUUCCUGGUGUAGCGGUGGAAUGCGCAGAUAUCAGGAGGAACACCGGUGGCGAAGGCGGUUCUCUGGGCCUUACCUGACGCUGAGGAGCGAAAGCGUGGGGAGCGAACAGG